rnacentral:tRNA from 1 species
GCCAGCGUAGCUCAGUUGGUAGAGCAACUGAUUCGUAAUCAGUAGGUCGGAGGUUCAAUUCCUCUCGCUGGCU